GCCGAACGCUGGCGGCGUGCUUAACACAUGCAAGUCGAACGAUGAAGCUAGAGCUUGCCCUGGUGAAUUAGUGGCGCACGGGUGAGUAGCACGUGAGUAACCUGCCCCGAACUCUGGGAUAACAGCUGGCAACGGUAGCUAAUACUGGAUACGACCUACGAAGGCAUCUUCUGCAGGUGGAAAGAAUUUCGGUUCGGGAUGGGCUCGCGGCCUAUCAGCUUGUUGGUUAGGUAAUGGCGCACCAAGGCGACGACGGGUAGCCGGCCUGAGGGGGUGACCGGCCACACUGGGACUGAGACACGGCCCAGACUCCUACGGGAGGCAGCAGUGGGGAAUAUUGCACAAUGGGCGCAAGCCUGAUGCAGCAACGCCGCGUGAGGGAUGACGGCCUUCGGGUUGUAAUCCUCUUUUAGUAGGGAAGAAGCGAAAGUGACGGUACCUGCAGAAAAAGCACCGGCUAACUACGUGCCAGCCGCCGCGGUAA
rnacentral:rRNA from 1 species